GAUGAACGCUGGCGGCGUGCCUAAUACAUGCAAGUCGAGCGAACGGACGAGAAGCUUGCUUCUCUGAUGUUAGCGGCGGACGGGUGAGUAACACGUGGAUAACCUACCUAUAAGACUGGGAUAACUUCGGGAAACCGUAGCUAAUACCGGAUAAUAUUUUGAACCGCAUGGUUCAAAAGUGAAAGACGGUCUUGCUGUCACUUAUAGAUGGAUCCGCGUUGCAUUAGGUAGUUGGUAAGGUAACGGCUUACCAAGGCGACGAUGCAUAGCCGACCUGAGAGGGUGAUCGGCCACACUGGAACUGAGACACGGCCCAGACUCCUACGGGAGGAAGCAGUAGGGAAUCUUCCGCAAUGGGCGAAAGCCUGACGGAGCAACGCCGCGUGAGUGAUGAAGGUCUUCGGAUCGUAAAACUCUGUUAUUAGGGAAGAACAUAUGUGUAAGUAACUGUGAAGAUCUUGACGGUACCUAAAGAGAAAGCCACGGCUAACUACGUG
rnacentral:rRNA from 1 species